AGCAAACUCAUUCAUCUUGUCUAAAAGAAACUUGUGACACUUUUAUAUUGCAAAAACAUCAUACAAGUACCAAAAUAUUCUAAAAAUGUUUCACAAACAUCAUAAAUGUCUAUGAAUGAAUGUCAUCUAAUCCUUCUUGAAUGUCAAGGAAUUCUUCCUGAAUAUAAAGAAGUUCUUCCUAAAUAAUAAUUAUACUACCUAUCUCAUAUAAUUAGUUCUUGAUCUUGGCUCCUCUCUUCGUUUUUGAUCUUAGCUCCUCUUCAAUGUUAAAAUGGAGCUUAGGGGUUUGAUUUCAAAAUCUCUCAUGUCCUACAAUAGAAAAAGAAACACAGAUCGUGUCAAGAAAGUCAUCCUAAAAUAUGCAUAUCCUUUCCUGAAUUUCAACAGUGCGUCCUGGAUUUUCGAGAAUCUUAAUUCAAUCAAAAUUUAUGUGAGAAAUUGCAUGAUAUGAAUGACUCCAUGAGUAAUGAGAAAGCAAAACAAGUAUUCACAAUGAGCCAUCUUUCGAUCAAUGUAAGUUUCUAAUACAUUUACAAAUGUUCAAGUAUGACAUCUUCAAAUGAAUGAAAACAAAUAUGUGAACAUGUGGGAAAAGAAGACAGAAUAUAGCCUACGUAAUUUUGGGUAUAAUGUACUGUGCUGGUACACAUAUGCACAACAAAAAAAACAUGGUAUAAGAAAAAUAAUGACAAAGCAAGUAAAAGUGAAAGAGAUUACGUAAUAUUCAGCUCAUUGUUUUGACUAAUAAAACUCAAAACAAUGAGAAACUAUGGGCUGAAUCAAUUCUCAAAACAAUGAAAAACUAUGGAACUGAAUCAAAAGGCAAAAUAAUGAGCUGGCUAUAUCGAGCAAAACUUAAAACUCAAGGAAAACUCAAAUUAAUUAAUGGAGUUGUAUCAAAACAAUGAAUUGAAUCAAAACAAUGAGCUCUUAUGGAGCUGAAUCAAAUUGGUUUACAAAAUGGUGUUGAAUCAAAUUGGAGUGAGUCAACAUGAUCAACAUAAUCGUUCAUCUAAUGGAGUUGAAUCAAAUGAGCUGUAUCAAACUAAUCGUUCAUCUAGUUUUAAUUUAUCAAACAUAUGCUCAAAAUUACAAUGAGUUAAUCAACUAUACUCAAACUGAANN
rnacentral:lncRNA from 1 species